rnacentral:rRNA from 1 species
CAGUAGCCGCGGUAAUACGUAGGUGGCAAGCGUUGUCCGGAAUUAUUGGGCGUAAAGGGCUCGCAGGCGGUUUCCUAAGUCUGAUGUGAAAGCCCCCGGCUCAACCGGGGAGGGUCAUUGGAAACUGGGAAACUUGAGUGCAGAAGAGGAGAGUGGAAUUCCACGUGUAGCGGUGAAAUGCGUAGAGAUGUGGAGGAACACCAGUGGCGAAGGCGACUCUCUGGUCUGUAACUGACGCUGAGGAGUGAAAGCGUGGGGAGCGAACAGGAUUAGAUACCCGUGUAGUCCCUGUCUCUUAUAC